AGGCAGCAGUGGGGAAUAUUGCACAAUGGGCGCAAGCCUGAUGCAGCCAUGCCGCGUGUAUGAAGAAGGCCUUCGGGUUGUAAAGUACUUUCAGCAGUGAGGAAGGUGGGUAUGUUAAUAGCAUAUUCAUUUGACGUUAGCUGCAGAAGAAGCACCGGCUAACUCCGUGCCAGCAGCCGCGGUAAUACGGAGGGUGCGAGCGUUAAUCGGAAUUACUGGGCGUAAAAGCGCAUGCAGGUGGUUUGUUAAGUCAGAUGUGAAAGCCCGGGGCUCAACCUCGGAAUUGCAUUUGAAACUGGCAAACUAGAGUACUGUAGAGGGGGUAGAAUUUCAGGUGUAGCGGUGAAAUGCGUAGAGAUCUGAAGGAAUACCGGUGGCGAAGGCGGCCCCCUGGACAGAUACUGACACUCAGAUGCGAAAGCGUGGGGAGCAAACAGGAUUAGAUACCCUGGUAG
rnacentral:rRNA from 1 species